GAACAACAUCUAAGUCAUCUUCUUUCAGGCGCUCUCGUGGGUCUGGAAAGAUGCCAGAAACAGAAAGAUUUAUUACUCAAUCAAUGACUGAAAAAUGCCAACUAUUCUCAGGUGUGAACAAAUACUCAAGUGACUGACUAUACAAAGCCUAUAGGAGCAAAAGAUAGAGCAAUGAGCCAGUUGCACACCGGCAUUCACUAUGCUAGCAGUACCAUUUGUGACAGGGUACACCUCUACUGGAAUGUCGACAGAGGAUGAAGAACCACUUUCUUCAAUAGGCUGAGAAGUGGGAAAACAAAACCAUUCUUGGACCGUAAAAGCUGAUGGGAAUAACUUAAACAUCAAGGAGGCAGCAUUUAAUGAGUUGGUGGGAAGAUAAAGAGCAAAGGAGGAAUAGCACUAAGUAUGUACACUCUAUGGUCUAAGAUCAGUCUGUUCACUUGAAGAAAAAACAUGGAUCUGAAUAACGGGACAGUCCAAAGCAUUUCUAUUUUGUAUUUCAAGUAGAAGAUGAUAUCACUAAUAGAAUAGCCAGUGCUGCACCUCAAGAACUGGUAAAUAAGGGCCUCUGAUGAAGGUAAGAAAAAGCUGAAUGGCUCCCAAAGUUUCUUCACUAAUACACAUCACUAUUUCCUGUUUCCUAAACCAAUGGUUCUCAAACUAGAAUCAGAGUCAGAAUUCCCUGAAAGACUUGUUAAAUGCUGAUGACUAGGCCUUAUCCCUAGACUUUGAUUCAAUACCUUUGGGAUGGGACUUGAGACUUUAUAUUUCUAACAAGUUACCAGAUAAUGCUAAAUGCUAGUUCAAAGACCACAUGGUGAGAACCACUGUCUAAACCAGCGGUUGCCAACCUUUCGGACCUCACAGACCACCAGUUGGUGACCGCUGGUCUAAAACACUUUUAAUCCAUGACUUUGAGGUGAGACCCACUCUAUAACCUCCAAAAGUCUCUCAACAUAAUCCAAUCAACUUAUAAAUGCACAUUUAAAUACUAUGGAAACACAGCUUUUGAUCUCAGUAAUCUGACUUGGCAAAAUGGACCUCCAUCGGUUUAUAAAUUAAGGGCUCAAACCCCUCAGGACAACAGGUGCAUUUGAAAAAUCCACUUAUAACCAUCCCCAUUAAUCAUCACUGAGACUUAAGGGUAGGUCUGAAAGUACCCAGUGUGAGUCUAAAUUGAGUUCCUGAGAUGUUCAUGGAAGCACAAUGGACACCAACUGAACCAGGAGGAGUAACAAUGCAUCUGAGUUGCCUGACAACAUCAACACCAUGUAUUGGGUUGUUCAAGGAAUACUAAAGCCUAGCUACUCAAAGUAUGGUCAGUGGACCAGCAGUUUUUAACUUGAGAGCUGGUUAAGAAACUGAAUUUUCAAGCCCAUCUCUGACCUAACAUUCAGAAUCACACUUUACAAGGUUCACAGGUGAUCCUCGGACACAAGGAAACUCUGGUAUGUUACCCUUAAAAGCACUUAGCCAAACAUCUGGACCCCUUACCUUCAUGGGGGAAAAAAGCCCUCAAAUUCUGAACAGACUGUUAUUAUCCCAUAAAAACAACUGAAUGCUAAACUAUGAAGGGUCAAAGAUUAAGAAGCCUCUCAUCUGGACAAUGUGUUUUAUACUUUUUUGACCUUGUAGUAAAAUUCCCAC